GUCGGUGCAUUUUUUGAGGCAAUAAAUACAUCGAUUUUCGAAAUCUGGUAGAUCAGUUACGUUCGCGGAAGAUUCAUAAGACACAGUCUUGCGAUUAUCAGAAUCAUCUGGAAAAUGGAUACGUUCGUCGUCGGGUACUACAGUUUUAUCAUAAGGUAAGCACUGACAUUUGAGAAUCACAAGCAAAUAAAAUACAAUAACACACAUUAAUAUAUUAGACAUUAUUGAUAAGCUUAUAACACGACUUUAACGACACUGGGUACUUGCGAAA